UACGGGGGGAGCAAGCGUUGUUCGGAUUUACUGGGCGUAAAGGGCGCGUAGGCGGCCACCGCAAGUCGAUUGUGAAAUCCCUCGGCUCAACCCGGGAACUGCGUCCGAUACUGGAAGGCUUGAAUCCGGGAGAGGGAUGUGGAAUUCCAGGUGUAGCGGUGAAAUGCGUAGAUAUCUGGAGGAAUACCGGUGGCGAAGGCGGCAUCCUGGACCGGCAUUGACGCUGAGGAGCGAAAGCCAGGGGAGCAAACGGG
rnacentral:rRNA from 1 species